CGGGGUGCAGCAGGCGCGAAAACCUUGCAAUACACGAAAGUGUGACAGGGCUAUCCCGAGUGCCAUCCGCUGAGGAAGGCUUUUACCCAGUCUAGAACGCUGGGGGAAUAAGGAGAGGGCAAGUCUGGUGUCAGCCGCCGCGGUAAUACCAGCUCUCUGAGUGGUGUGGAUGUUUAUUGGGCCUAAAGCAUCCGUAGCUGGCUAAGUUAGUCCCUUGUUAAAUCCACCGAAUUAAUCGUUGGAUUGCGGGGGAUACUGCUUGGCUAGGGGACGAGAGAGGCAGACGGUAUUUCCGGGGUAGGGGUGAAAUCCUAUAAUCCCGGGAAGACCACCAGUGGCGAAGGCUGUCUGCUAGAACGCGCCCGACGGUGAGGGAUGAAAGCUGGGGGAGCGAACCGGAUUAGAUACCCGGGUAGUCCCAGCUGUAAACGAUGCAGGCUAGGUGUUUGGACGGCCACGUGCCGUUCUAGUGCCGCAGGGAAGCUGUUAAGCCUGCCGCCUGGGGAGUACGAUCGCAAGAUUGAAACUUAAAGGAAUUGGCGGGGGAGCAC
rnacentral:rRNA from 1 species